rnacentral:rRNA from 1 species
AACGAACGCUGGCGGCAUGCCUAACACAUGCAAGUCGAACGAGACCUUCGGGUCUAGUGGCGCACGGGUGCGUAACGCGUGGGAAUCUGCCCUUGGGUUCGGAAUAACAGUUAGAAAUGACUGCUAAUACCGGAUGAUGUCUUCGGACCAAAGAUUUAUCGCCCAAGGAUGAGCCCGCGUAAGAUUAGCUAGUUGGUGAGGUAAUGGCUCACCAAGGCGACGAUCUUUAGCUGGCCUGAGAGGAUGAUCAGCCACACUGGGACUGAGACACGGCCCA